UACGUAGGGCGCAAGCGUUAUCCGGAAUUAUUGGGCGUAAAGAGCUCGUAGGCGGUUUGUCGCGUCUGCCGUGAAAGUCCGGGGCUCAACUGCGGGUCUGCAGUCGAUACGGGCAGGCUAGAGUUCGGUAGGGGAGACUGGAAUUCCUGGUGUAGCGGUGAAAUGCGCAGAUAUCAGGAGGAACACCGGUGGCGAAGGCGGGUCUCUGGGCCGAAUACUGACGCUGAGGAGCGAAAGCGUGGGGAGCGAACAGG
rnacentral:rRNA from 1 species